AGUGAACGCUGGCGGUAGGCCUAACACAUGCAAGUCGAACGGCAGCACAGUAAGAGCUUGCUCUUACGGGUGGCGAGUGGCGGACGGGUGAGGAAUACAUCGGAAUCUACUUUUUCGUGGGGGAUAACGUAGGGAAACUUACGCUAAUACCGCAUACGACCUACGGGUGAAAGCAUGGGAUCUUCGGACCUUGCGCGAUUGAAUGAGCCGAUGUCGGAUUAGCUAGUUGGCGGGGUAAAGGCCCACCAAGGCGACGAUCCGUAGCUGGUCUGAGAGGAUGAUCAGCCACACUGGAACUGAGACACGGUCCAGACUCCUACGGGAGGCAGCAGUGGGGAAUAUUGGACAAUGGGCGCAAGCCUGAUCCAGCCAUACCGCGUAGGUGAAGAAGGCCUUCGGGUUGUAAAGCCCUUUUGUUGGGAAAGAAAAGCAGCAGGUUAAUACCCCGCUGUUCUGACGGUACCCAAAGAAUAAGCACCGGCUAACUUCGUG
rnacentral:rRNA from 1 species